GACAGAGGCCUCAAGCGUUAGGCGGAAUCACUGGGCUUAAAGCGUGUGUAGGCGGAUCGUUAAGUGUCUUGUGAAAUCCCACGGCUCACCCGUGGAACUGCUGGGCAUACUGGCGAUCUUGGGCCAACUAGGGGCAACUGGAACAAGCGGUGGAGCGGUGAAAUGCGUAAAUAUCGCUUGGAACGCCAACGGUGAAAACAGGUUGCUGGGGUUGUGCCGACG
rnacentral:rRNA from 1 species